rnacentral:rRNA from 1 species
AGAGUUUGAUCAUGGCUCAGGACGAACGCUGGCGGCGUGCUUAACACAUGCAAGUCGAACGAGAUCCAUCCGGUGGCAACACCGGAGAAGACCUAGUGGCGAACGGGUGAGUAACACGUGAGCAACCUGCCCCGAAGACCGGGAUAACAGCGGGAAACCGCUGCUAAUACCGGAUACCCCCCAUCGGACCGCAUGGCCUGAUGAGGAAAUGGAUUCCGCUUCGGGAGGGACUCGCGGCCUAUCAGCUUGUUGGUGGGGUAACGGCCCACCAAGGCUACGACGGGUAGCUGGUCUGAGAGGACGAUCAGCCACACUGGGACUGAGACACGGCCCAGACUCCUACGGGAGGCAGCAGUGGGGAAUCUUGCGCAAUGGGCGAAAGCCUGACGCAGCAACGCCGCGUGAGGGAUGAAGGCCUUCGGGUUGUAAACCUCUUUCGAGCAGGGACGAUAAUGACGGUACCUGCAGAAGAAGCUCCGGCCAACUACGUGCCAGCAGCCGCGGUAAUACGUAGGGAGCGAGCGUUGUCCGGAUUCAUUGGGCGUAAAGAGCUCGUAGGCGGCUUGAUAAGUCGGAUGUGAAACCUCCAGGCUCAACCUGGAGUCGCCAUCCGAUACUGUCAUGGCUAGAGUCCGGUAGGGGCCCACGGAACUCCUGGUGUAGCGGUGAAAUGCGCAGAUAUCAGGAAGAACACCGGUGGCGAAGGCGGUGGGCUGGGCCGGCACUGACGCUGAGGAGCGAAAGCGUGGGGAGCGAACAGGAUUAGAUACCCCCGUAGUCC